rnacentral:rRNA from 1 species
UACGUAGGGAGCAAGCGUUGUCCGGAAUCAUUGGGCGUAAAGAGCGCGUAGGUGGCUUUAUAAGUCCGUUGUGAAAGUCAAAGGCUCAACCUUUGAAAGCCGAUGGAUACUGUGAAGCUAGAGUACGGAAGAGGCGAGUGGAAUUCCACGUGUAGCGGUGAAAUGCGUAGAGAUGUGGAGGAACACCUGUGGCGAAGGCGCCUUGCUGGCCGAUUUCUGACGCUGAGGCGCGAAAGCGUGGGGAGCAAACAGG